UGCUGCUCUGCUUCACCCUGCGCCCAUCCACCGCCCAUGGUGGGCUCUGGGGGAGGGUUCAGCACCCAUGGGCUCGCUCUGCAGCCAUGGGAGAGGGGCUCCAGGCUCUCAAACCUGAGGCUGUGCUUCCACGUGUAGCACAAAAAGGGCUUUUCCAGCCCCAUCCAGCCCCUCUAUGGGCCUGGGAGGGCUCCAAGCAUCAAUCAUACUCCUCCCUCUGCCCCCUCCGAGCAGCCCCACGGCUCCCCACUGUCACCCAUGGGUGCUGGCGAGGAUGUGCUGCUCCUUCAACCCCUGAGCUCAAGCCAUGGGUCACCCCUCCCUGGAAGCACUGGGUACAGGAGAUAUCUAAUAUAUACACUAGAACUCUA